rnacentral:rRNA from 1 species
UAUGUAUCAUAUACUCUGAAUGUGUCAUAGAAUGUUCAUGUUGCCUUAAAACGCAAUCAAAUACAACUUUCAACAACGGAUCUCUUGGCUCUCGCAUCGAUGAAGAACGCAGCGAAAUGCGAUAAGUAAUGUGAAUUGCAGAUUUUCAGUGAAUCAUCGAAUCUUUGAACGCACCUUGCGCUCCUUGGUAUUCCGAGGAGCAUGCCUGUUUGAGUGUCAUUAAAUUCUCAACCCCACCGAUUUGCUUCGGGGGGAUUGGACUUGGAGCGUGCUGGCUAAUGUCGGCUCCUCUUUAAAUGCAUCAGUGGAGAGAAACUUGCCCCAGUGUGAUAAUCCUGUUGCGCUGUGGUGGGUGAAAGUCUGCUUCCAACCGUCCCUCCGGGGACAUAUGUCAUCUUAUUUUGACCUCAAAUCAGGUAGGACUACCC